CUGUCUCAACCUCCUGAAUAGCUGGGAUUACAGGCGCGCACCACCACACCCGGCUAAUUUUGUAUUUUUAGUAGAGACAGGAUUCACAGUGUUGGCCAGGCUGGUCUCAAACUCCUGACCUCAGGUGAUCCGCCCGCCUCAGCCUCCCAAACUGUUGGGAUUACAGGCGUAAGCCACCGCGCCCGGCCGGGACCAUUCUUCCAUGUGCUUCUCCUGAGCUAUCAGCGACAAGAUGGUGUCAGAGGAAGGUGUGUUAUGCCCUGCUCUCCCAGGGCCAUAAGGGUCUUAGGAUGGGAUCUGGCCUUGCUGACUGGACCUCAGAGUCAGAGAGGCACGUAAGUGGAGGCCCAUACCUCCUCUGCAGCCUCAGUAUAUGGAAGCUGUAUAAUGGGGUCCACAGUAUGGGCCUUGGGGACUCCCCCUUCCUUCCUGGCUCUACCCAGUGCCCCCCUGAUAUGGAGGAAUCAUGGGCUUUGGCUCUCAGGACACUUCCAACAUGCUCUGUAGGCCUUGCUGGAUCUUAUUCUCUUCAAUGAGAAUGUAGUUCUGGGCUGGGCACCGUGGCUCAUGCCUGUAAUCCUAGCACUCCUUUGAGGGGCCAAGGCAGGAGGAUUGCUUGAGGUUAGGAGUUCAAGACCAGCCUGGGCAACAUAACAAAACUCAACAAAACAAAAAAACUGCUAAAAAUGUUUUUAAAAUAAAAUAUGUGACCGGG
rnacentral:lncRNA from 10 species